ensembl:ncRNA hpRNA:CR46343 hairpin RNA:CR46343
UUAUGGAUCCUCUUUCAAUGAAUUUAGUAUGCCCAAACUCGAAGGAGUUUCACCUCCAUAAGAGCGACAGUCCUGGAGAAGUUAUCAGAGCCAAAAAAAUUCAUAUGAUGAUGCAUUUUCCGUCUCUGAAAACGUCUUCAGCAGAAGUUGUUUUUAGCGAAGUGAAACUCAUUCGAUUUUGAUCAUACUAACGACAUUGGAUGCUUGGAUCGGCA